rnacentral:rRNA from 1 species
UACGAAGGGUGCAAACGUUGCUCGGAAUCAUUGGGCGUAAAGCGCACGUAGGCGGCUUUCUAAGUCGGAUGUGAAAUCCCUCGGCUCAACCGAGGACGUGCAUCCGAAACUGGGAAGCUCGAGUAUGGAAGAGGGUCGCGGAAUUCUCGGUGUAGAGGUGAAAUUCGUAGAUAUCGGGAGGAACACCAGUGGCGAAGGCGGCGACCUGGGCCAAUACUGACGCUGAGGUGCGAAAGCUAGGGUAGCAAACGGG